rnacentral:rRNA from 1 species
AGUGAACGCUGGCGGUAGGCCUAACACAUGCAAGUCGAACGGCAGCACAGUAAGAGCUUGCUCUUACGGGUGGCGAGUGGCGGACGGGUGAGGCAUACAUCGGAAUCUACUUUUUCGUGGGGGAUAACGUAGGGAAACUUACGCUAAUACCGCAUACGACCUACGGGUGAAAGCAGGGGAUCUUCGGACCUUGCGCGAUUGAAUGAGCCGAUGUCGGAUUAGCUAGUUGGCGGGGUAAAGGCCCACCAAGGCGACGAUCCGUAGCUGGUCUGAGAGGAUGAUCAGCCACACUAGAACUGAGACACGGUCCAGACUCCUACGGGAGGCAGCAGUGGGGAAUAUUGGACAAUGGGCGCAAGCCUGAUCCAGCCAUACCGCGUGAGUGAAGAAGGCCUUCGGGUUGUAAAGCCCUUUUGUUGGGAAAGAAAAGCAGCAGGUUAAUACCCCGCUGUUCUGACGGUACCCAAAGAAUAAGCACCGGCUAACUUCGUG